AUUUAUUUGCUUAGCUUGCAUUAGUAUGAUGGACAAUUUUAGAUGUUUCGCCUUCAAAAAGAAGACUCAGCAUCAUCCAUGGAAGGACGCUUGGACCAAGGACGUGAUCGGAUGUGGUCGGGUCGGGACAGGUGUUGAUCCAAUAUUAUGUGUUGUGUCUUAUUGCUUAGAAUACUAUGUCUGGGGAAAAACCCUCUUAUUAUCAAAUAUUUUGUGUUGUGUCUUAUUACUUAGAAUAAUAUCAAAUAUUAUGUGUUGUGUCUUAUUGCUUAAAAUACUAUGUCUGGGAAAAAACCCUCUUAUUAUCAAAUAUUCUGUGUUGUGUCUUAUUGCUUAGAACAUUAUGAUUGUAAAUCCCUCCUAUUUCAAAUAAAUGCAGGAGCGAGGGGGGGGGAUUGUUUAGAGCGUGUUGAGAGACUGUGAUCUGAACAAUCUCCCAUACGCCCUCCUCAUGAGAAAAAGUAACAAGCGUCUUCAUUCCUUUUGUGUCUAUUAUAAUGUUGGGUAAGAUUAAUCCAACAUAAAUUGGUCCUUCGAGCCGGAUGUCAACACACCCGAAGAUUCCAGUUGUGGAGCCGACAUCCAGUUAAGAGACCGUGGCCACGGCAUUUGAGACCCUUUCCGGGACUGGUCUUCGGACUUCUCAACUGGGAUCUGGAGGUUGACGACAAUCCAAGGAUUGAAGACGACUUUGCAGGAAACCAAGUUGGUUGGACCGGGAGACUGGGUCCUAAUUCGAAGCAUCAAAAAGAAGCACUGGCAUUCACCAAAGUGGGAAGGACCGUAUCAAGUGUUAUUGACAACACCAACAGCCCUAAAAAUAGCAGAAAGAAAUACGUGGGUUCAUUUAACACACUGUAAAAGAGUCAUUUCAGCUGAGUACUCAAAUAAGGAAGGUGAUCUAAAGUCUGAUAACGGAGCGGGAGCAGAUGUGUAGAUUCUGAAAACGCUUGCU